CCACAACCCACAACAUUAACGACGUCCAUGCUGGUUUUAAGUCAGAAGCUUCCAGAAGCCUCUAGAAACCCUUCCCGCGACAAUGAAUCACUGCGUUAUUUUUUUGUGGUCACUCAGCUCUGUCAAGAACAAUGUCAGCGUGUGAACUGGCUGAAGUUUCUCUGAAAACAGGGACUUUGCUGCAUUACAUUUCUUUAAAUCUUGUAUUGUGGAGAAACCAUAGAUGCCAUAUUACAACUUCCCAUGACACGCAACGCAGGUGACAAAUAUAGCAUGUGAAUAAGGCAGUGUUCUUCUCUCUAAUUGGCUCAUAAUAAUCUCUUUGACUGAUAAAAGGCGUCUUUGAAACAGAGAGUUACUGUUAGCUUUCAGGUCAAACAACAGUUGAAGCCAGAGCGAAAACGUACAAGGUUUGUGUGUUUUUACACGAUUCAAGGUGCAAAAUGAAGCUUCUUCUCUUCGCAGCAUUUGCAGCAACCCUCAGCUAUGUCAACGCAGGCAAGACUGCAAGGCUGCUGGCAGCUAUGAAUGCAGGGAUGUUGAAUGGGGGACUCUUAAAUGGAGGACUCUUAAAUGGAGCAAACCCCGGGAUGCUGGUUGGUGGUCUGAAUCCACCCAUUGUAGCUGGCGGUGGAGCAGGCGUUAUUGGGCAGCCCCAGUUUGCUCAGUUUGUUCCUCGAGUUCCUGCUUUUGUCGUUCCAGCUCAGGUCGGCAAUGUGUACCCUUUCCCUGCUGUCCCUGCAGUCAAUGCGUACCAGGUUCCUUUCAUGGGAGUACCCCAAAUGGCACCAAUGAAUGCUCCUCAGCAACCUGCAAUGGUAAUCAACCUUUCCCUCCAGUGUAUCAGUGGUUAUUGUUUGCAGAAAUGUUACAUUUGCUGUUUUUGUUUAGGGGAACCCUGCCGGUGCUGCUCCACAGCAGCUUCCAGUUCAGCCUGAUCCACUUGGAAGAUUCAGGGUAGGAAACAAUGAAUCUUUAGUCUCAUAGGCUGUGCAAUAUGAAUGAAAACUACACUGGCUAAAUGUUGCUCUAUGACUCCACAGCGCCAGAUUAUGAAAGCCGAAAACACAGUGAAGAGUACUUUGGAUACUCAGGUGAGACUGCGUAAAAUAAAAAAUAAAAGCAAUUUUAAAAAAAUUACUAACAGUUUGUAAACAUCAUGUUCUGCUAGAAAAAUGAUUUUUUUUGUCUCUUAUUAAUUCCUCAGAUUCCUUCUUCUGCUCCUUCUGCAUCACCAACAGCAGUGCCCUGCAACAAGGAUAAUUAAGCUGACACCAUUACUGUAACAUUAGCUUUGAAUUGAAUCUACAAGAAAUAUUGAAUAUUAUAACAUUAAAAGUUAACUCCUAUGAUUAUUCAUAAAUUGAUGAAUUUUGUUACAGUGUGUUUGCUUUCUAAUAAAAGUAAUCAUACUCUAAAUAAAAUCUGUCUUGUACGAGUUUUACAGCAUACACCAUCAGUCAUACAGUGGAUCUGUGCUGCCAUCUAAAGGACAUAUAUGAUAAUAGUUUCAUAAAACUACAACUCAUGCUAGAUAGUUAAGAGGACAUCCAUAAAAUGUCAUCAAAAAUAAAAUAAAAAAGAUCAAAAUAACAAAAAUGACUACCAACCCACUUGCCACUAAUUCCAUUGAUAAAGAUAAUACAGAUACUGAUGUCAAGGAGAAUUAGUGAACACACAUAUUACAGCAAACAUGAUGCAGUUCUGAAGUUCUUUCAAACAGCUCCUCCUACAGCCUUUCAGCAUAUACAGACAUACAGAGGC
ensembl:lncRNA